rnacentral:rRNA from 1 species
GACGAACGCUGGCGGCGUGCUUAACACAUGCAAGUCGUACGGUAAGGCCCUUUCGGGGGUACACGAGUGGCGAACGGGGGAGUAACACGUGAGUAACCUGCCCACAACUUUGGGAUAACGCUAGGAAACUGGUGCUAAUACUGGAUAUGUGCCCCUGCUGCAUGGUGGGGGUUGGAAAGCUCCGGCGGUUGUGGAUGGACUCGCGGCCUAUCAGCUUGUUGGUGGGGUAGUGGCCUACCAAGGCGGCGACGGGUAGCCGGCCUGAGAGGGUGACCGGCCACAUUGGGACUGAGAUACGGCCCAGACUCCUACGGGAGGCAGCAGUGGGGAAUAUUGCACAAUGGGCGCAAGCCUGAUGCAGCAACGCCGCGUGCGGGAUGACGGCCUUCGGGUUGUAAACCGCUUUCAGCAGGGACGAAGCUUUUUGUGACGGUACCUGCAGAAGAAGCACCGGCUAACUACGUG